rnacentral:tRNA from 1 species
GGAGAGGUGGCAGAGUGGUCGAAUGCACCGCACUCGAAAUGCGGCAUACGGGUUCAAAUCCCACCCUCUCCGCCA